GGCAGUGGUAGCUUAGUGGUUAAGACGUUGGUCAAUUUAUCAGAAGGUCAUGAGUUCAAAUCCCAGCACUGCCA